AGAAAAAAUCCCAUUUCUUAGUUGGAAAAAAGCCAGCCACCUUCCGUAUUUCGGUCCCAAAAGUCUCUCCUCAACAAUCAGGGAGCAGACAACCAAGAAUGGGCAAGGAGAAAAUGAGUUUUUUGAAAGGUCUAUGGCAGUCUAUUCUCAAUUUUAUCGGCCGUCAUCGUAAUGAAGAAACCUAUAGGUCCCCGUAUGUGAAUGAAUCAGUUUCUAAAAUAUAUAUAAAAAAAAGUGUCAGAGCUCGUUCUUUCACUCAUAAA
rnacentral:lncRNA from 1 species